UGAAAGGUAAUUGCAGAUGCUGCUAACAGCCACGAAGAUGAUAAAACAGGGUAAUGCGAUAGAGGGUGACUGGUUUGGGGUGGGCUACUUACAAAGUCUGGAAAGGCCGCUCUGAGGAGAUGGAUAAUAGCAGGAAGUGAGUUCAUUUUCAAAUUUUAUUAGUAGUUCCGCCUGCUUAUUCUACUUCAGUUGGCUUGAACUGGGAAUGGUGGCUGACUAAUGUUCAGUGACCCACGGCCAGCCCAAGCACACGGCUCCUCAGGACCAGGCAGGUCAACAUUUCAAACUUCCUUGGGCCUUUUCUGGUCCAGGAAGACCCUGUCUGUUUUCCCAUUUGUUCCAGUCAACAACCUCUCACCGUUCUGCUUCUGUUUUUGACUCACACCCUCCAAGGAGCAGGCAGGCCUCUGUAUCCAGCUCUCAGGAUGUGGAGAGCUGCAAAUAGCACUGACAGCUGCAGCUGGAGGUAACUGCCCGGGAAGCUUGCCAGCGUUUGCCUGGCUGCUGCCACCAUGGGAGCCGGGGCCAGGCCGAGGGCCUCCUCAAGCCCUUGUGAGCAGCCUCACAGAACCCUCCGUGAGUCAGGCCAACUCACUAGUGCAAAUCACCGCUUUUACUUUCUUGUUUGUGAGUACAUGAGGGUGGAGGGCAGAUGAGGAAGGAAAGCGCACGUGCCCUUAAAUGUUUUCAAUUUAACCUCAAGACUGCCUCAGAGCUAGGCUAGCAACAACAGUUGCCUCUUGUGCACAGACAGGGAAACUGAGGGUGACGGGACUAUCUGAGGAGAACAGACAAACAAAAACCACUUCUGAGAUGAAAACCCACCUCUCUGUGUUCUUGGUGCCACAGCCUUUGCCUCAGAAUUUUGUUCAGUCGUUUUACUUUAUCUCCUUAAAAUAUUUUUCUCCGGAGUUUUCUGCUAGUUACAAGAUUCGCAUUCUCUUUUGACCACAUUUCUAACUGCAAAAAAAAAAAAAGAGAGAGAGAAUUAUUUAUAAAACACCAUGGGAAACUUGUCUUUAAAGAAGGAAGCCUAAAAGGAAAUGAAAACCCGCCUGCUUGCUCUACCGCAUAGUUAGAACAGAGGUGGGGGCCAGGCUCAUGCACACCCCAGUCAUGUUCUCCCCAAAGGGAGGUGGGGAGGGACAGGCGGGAAGGAGAGCUGGCCUCCCAAGGCCUCCCUCUGCUUGAAGUGUCUGAGGUUCGGUCCCAGGAGGUCCAUUUGCAGGGUGUGUGGUAGCACCCGGGGACAGGGAGGCCCAGCAGCACUGACUCUGAGCACAUGGACUUGCUUCUUGUGGUGCCUCUGCCUGGUACUGGGGGUACCUGGGACCCCUUAGGCCCUGAGCAGCCUGGCAGGGCUCUUGGUUCAUCUCAGAUGGGAAUCAGCCUGGUGAGGUACAGGAAGGAGCCGUCCCUCCUUCCGUGUCUGGCGGUUGGGUUUCUGACGGCCUGCUCUGAGGAGAAAAACUGCUCUCCUGAGAGGCCUGCCCACUCCCCAGGAUCACUGGUGGAACAGUGGUUAAGCACUUGGCUGCUACCCGAAAGUCUAGAAGCCCUGCUGAAACCUGUCCAGUUGAAAAUUGACAGAUAGCUGGUGGCUGUGCACAAGGUGUGUUGGCCAGGAGUCAAACCCCGGUCUCCGGCAUGGAAGGCCCCACGGGGGAUUUCCUGAAUCAAAACCCUUGUCGAGGAACCCAGAAACUGGUAUUUCCAAGAAUCCAGGUAGGCCAUGUUAACCGACGAAAGCAAAAAUCAUCAUUAAACCCGGUCCACACAACGCUACCCGCUUAACGCUGUUAAACGCAGGACGGACGCACAAACACCAGUUCGAACGGAUUAAAAAAGGCACUUACAGGGAAGACCCGCAAAGAGUCCCAGUUUGGAGACACAACAAAAAGCCUUCAGGAAGAAAAGUCAGCAGGAGACCCUGGCCAGUGUACCUCAAGUGCAGGCCACUACCCAUCCAUCAGUGAACAGAUUUCAAUGGAACUUCCAGACUAAGACAAACUAGGAAGAAAGACCUGGAGAUCUACUUUUGAAAACCAGCAAUGAGAACCCUACGCGUCACAGUGUUUCAUCCUGCCGUGCAUGGGGUCUCCAUGAGUUGGGGACUGAUUCAACAGCUGCUAACAACAACAUCCAAUAGAUUAAAAAAACAAAAACAAAAAAAACUUCCAUUCCUUUACAAAAGAAAUAUACAAUAGUGAGGAGGGGUGACCAAAAAAGCAAAUUAAACUUGAAGGUGGAAUAAGAUCCAUGCAAAGCACCCAGGAAGGAGCCCUGGUGGUGCAGUGGUUAAGUGCUCAGCUGCUAACCCAAAGGUCGGUGGUUCAAACCCAUCAGCUGCUCUGUGGGAGAAAGACCUGGCAAUCUGCUCCCAUAACGUUUACAGCCUUGGAAACCCUGUGGAGCAGUACUACUACUUUGCCCUGUAGGGUCACUAUGAAUUGGAAUCAACUUGAAGGCAACGUGUUUGUUUUUUUUUUUUUUUUUGGUGUUUUUAAUGCACCCAGAAAUCUCUGUUGGACUGUGAAUCACCCUGUUACGGACUGAAUUUGUUCCCCCAAAAGUUAUGUUGAAGUCCUAGCCCCUGUACCUGUAAAUAUGAUUCUGUUUGGAAAUAAGGGUUCUCUUACGUUAAUGACAUCAUACCAGAAUAGGGUGCGUCCUAAACCUAAUCUCUUCUGAGUGGUAUCUUAGAAGAGGAAAAACAGACACACAGGGGGAAGACAGUUGAUAUAUGAAGAUACAUCUACAAGUAGCCAAGAAACACCCAGAGCUACAGAAGUGGAAAGAGACAAGGAUCUUUCACUAGGAGCCCAAAGAGAGAGAGAGAGAGCGUGUGCGCGCCUAGCCCUGCUGACACCGUGAAUUCAGACUCUUAGCCCCCAAAACUGUGAGUCCGUAAAUUCCUGUCCUUUAUGGAAAAACGGGGAAUCUUGGCUCUAUAGUGUUUAACAAAGUGAAACUUCUACUUCUGUUUACUGUGGAGACUCAAGAAAACGGUGCCCAGGCAGUGAUGGCGACAGAACAUUUGUGGUCCAGGGUGUAUAUGUAUGUGUUCCUUUCCUGCUUCACCCCAGCAAGUAUAAAACACACUUGGUUCUGUUAGGUUCUACUGAUACUUUCUUUUCAAAAGGUUUCAAGAUACCACUAAAGAUUUUUUUUUUUUUUACUUCAGUUGCAUUUCUACUGCUUUAACAUCUACACGCACAUAAGUCACCAGAGCACACCCAAACUCUCACAGAAAAAUGAGAUAAAGAUUUGACAAGCCCAGCCUUCUGAGGAAGCCAGUGGAAGCCUGGUUCUCAAAUGUAAUGUUCUACAUAUGUUCCCUUAGAGUGCAGAGGGAAUUGGUAUUUAAGAUGCUGUGUCGUGCAAUAAUACCUCAGGGUGCUAUCUGAUGGUUCAUUUAUUCCUAAACCUUGUACAGCUGCCAUAUUGAUAAAUAAACCCCUCUCUCUAGGAAAUUAUUCUUGUGGUUAUCCCUUCUCCAAUUUUUUAGGUUAAGAGCUUAAGCCACAGGAGCCCCUGGUUUGCUCAAAUGGUCAAGCGCUGGACUACUAACCAAAAAGUUGGCUGUUCAAAACCCACCCAGAGGCGCCUUGGAAGAAAGGCCUGGUGUCUUCUGAAAGGUCCAAAAAAAAAAAAAAAAACAAACCUGUUGCCAUCGAGUUGAUUCCGACUCAGAGCGACCCUGCAGGACAGAGUAAAACUACCCCGUAGAGUUUCCAAGGAGCACCUGGUGGAUUCGAACUGCCAACCUUUUGGCUAGCAGCUGUGGCUCUUAACCACUACGCCACUAUGGUUUCCUCUGAAAGGUCCCAGCCUUGAAAACCCUGUGGAGCAGCUCUACUCUGCACACAUGGGAUCAACUCAAUGGCAACCAACAAGAACAAAAACCUAAGCCAUCAAAGGGUUUUUGCUACAAUCUGACCCCCAAGCCUUGUUUUGGGUGGGAGGGGUUGGGGGUAGGAAGGAGUUGUGGACCUGUGACUCCUUACGCAGAUCAUCAGUGAAGGAGGAAAAGAGUUCCACUUGCCAGCUGGGGGACAAGCUAUGAAUCCUCCUGUUAUGGAUUGAAUUGUGUCACCCCAAAAUCUGUGUUAUAAAUCCUAACCAAUAUACCUGUGGUGGUAACCCCAUUUGGGAAUGAGUUUAUUAGUGCGGGGUGUGUCUUAGACCAAUCUUUUUUGAGAUAUAAGAGAGCAAAGAUGGAGGAAGGCAGAUGCCAAGCCUCACGAAAAUCACCAAGGAGCCAAGGCUGAGAAGAGAUAGGACCUUUCCUCAGAGCUGACAGAAAGAAAACCUUCUAGAGCCAGUGCCCUGAAUUUGGAUUUCCAGCCUCCUAAAAAACUGAGAAAGGAAACCCUGGUGGUAUAGUGGUUAAGUACUACGGCUGCUAACCAAAGGGUUGGCAGUUUGAAUCUGCCAGGCGCUCCUUGGAAACUCUAUGGGGCAGUUCUACUCUGUCCUAUAGGGUCGCUAUGAGUCGGAAUCGACUUGGUGGCACUGGUUUUUUUUUUUUUUUUUUAAGCCGAGAAAAUUAAUUUCUGCUUGUCAUAGUCACCCACUUGUGGUAUUUCUGUUACAGCAGCACUGGAUGACUUAGAUGCCUUCCAAUGGAAGAACUUUCUGGGGGCUCAGGAAAAGGACUUCAUUGGUACCAGGCAGCUGCUCCAUAGCAGAAUCGGUCCAUUUUCUUCAGGGUGACCAAAUAUCCCUAAUUUUCUUGUCAUGACAGCUUAGAUGGUAGAAGCUGAAGCUGGACCUGCCUCUAAGGAAUCCUCCCUCUAAUUGGGGCCCAGUGUCAGCUUGCCUUGAUUUAAGGUAUCGAGGCAGGAAGGAGGGCAAUCUGUAGGGCACCCUGAAGAGGAGAGGAGAAUCAAGUGAGGAGGAAAUGGAUCCAGUGGAGUAAAUAAAGCAAAGCCUGGUGUGGUGCCUGAAGAAGACCCACGCUCCCCUGGCUUCCUGGGCAAUGCUCUUUUCUCUGGAAAACUCACUUCCUUCUGUCAGAGAAUGCAGCUGGCUCAGAGUGGACUUCCCACUUGGACCUUGGAGCUCUUUGCUACUUCUAGGCAGCCCGGGGUAUCCCAGGCCUGUCUGCUACUGCAAAAUCCUGUGCCCCAAACCCUCCCUCUGAAUGUACCUCUGAGGAAACCAUUCCUAGUAUCCAUCAUGAGGGAAUCAGAAGGGAAGUCUGGGCCAGUAUGCUCUGUGAGAAACAAGGGGCAGUGUAGGUAUGUGCCCUGUGACAGAGGCCAUCCCCACACAACGCCUUCAUCAUCCUGGCGUGGGGACCCUCCAGCCUCUGCUGUGGCACAGCAGUGAGGGAGGUAGUACUUUGGGCUUCCUCAAAAAGCCAAAAACCAAACUCGUUGCCAUCAAGUCAAUUCCGACUCAUUGCAACCCUAUAGGGCAGAGUAGAACUGCCCCAUAGGGUUUCCAAGGCUGUAAUCUUUGCAUAGGCAGAACAGCAGGUCUUUCUCCCGUGGAGUGGCUGGUGGGUUCCAAUUGCCGACCUUUUGGUUAGCAGCUGAGGGUUUAACCACUCACUGCACCAGUGGGGUUUCCAGCACCUCCUAAAUCAUGCCACAGAAAGAGCCACUUACUUCCCCACACACAGGCUGCCAACGGCUCUGUCACUGGAAGAUGAACUAUAGGGAAUAAAAUCAAGAUGAAGCUUGGUGUAAAUCUUUUCGGCUCACAGAGAUUGUAGAAAGUUGGAAAUGAAACGGAUAUUAAGAUCAUCUAGUUCUACCUCCUCAUUUUGGAGCUGUAAAAACGGAGGCCCAGGGAGGUGCCUUGAUGUAUCUACCAGCACACAGUGGCCACACGGCAGAAAUACCCCCGGCUUCCCCUGCCUGUUGCCACGACACCGUUGGGCACUCAUGUAGAGCAUCUUUUGACUUUUGAGAACAGUUAGGGAAGAAUCAAGCCUUGGUGGCACCGUGGUUAAGCACUGGGGCUGCUAACCAAAAGAUUCAGUGGUUUGAACCCUGCAGCUGCUCUGCAGGAGAAAGAUGUGACAGUCUGCUUCCCUAAAGAUCACAGCCUUGGAAACCCUGUGGGGCAGUUCUACUCUGCCCUAUAGGGUCGCUAAGAGUCAGAAUCGACUCAAUGGCAACAGGUUUAAGGAAGAAUCAGUCCUCUGGCAUCUUCACUGCCCUUCUACCUUUUAUUAUUUCCAGCUGCUAAAAAUUGGCACUUUUAAAAGUGGGUUGGCCUACCAGUCCCUGAGGGUCACUGUUCUAGGGAGCGCUGGUUUAGAGGAGUGGAGAACAGGCAGGUUCGGGAGCCAUAAGAGCCAGCCUCCUACCUGGCACCCAGGGAUUUCUGUCAUUCAAGUCCCUGGGAGUGUGCUCUCAGCAAAUACUAACCCACAGAGUCAAUUGCUAACUCUAGUCAUCUGUACAUUUGCCCUCUGGGGUUGGAAAGCUUGAGAAAAUGCUGUCUCCUGAUCUAGUUGGUCUUGGAUGGUGUCUUAGGCCAGCAUCUCUGGAGGAGCAAAACCAGUGAAGCAUAUACAUACAUAUGUAUAUAGAAAGAGAUUUAUUUCAAGGAAGCGGCUCAUGGAGUUGCGGAGGCUGGCAAGUCAUACAUAAAUCCAUGGGUCAGGCAUCAGGGUGGAGGCUUCUCCUGAUUCAAGUGGUUUCAGGGGCUGACGAACCCAAGAUCUGCAGGUCAGAUGGCGGGCUGUUGGCUCAUGGGGCUGUGGGAGCUGGUGAAUUCCAAAAUCUGCAAGUCAGACAGCAGACUGCUGGCUCACGUCCCAAGAACCAGAGGUCAGAGGAUGACGAGUCGGAUGCUGGACUGAGAGAAGGCGAGCUUUGCCAGAGCAUCCAUAUAUAUUGGAUGCAGACCACACCCCCAAGGAACUCCCUGUAUUAGAGCCAUUGAUGGUGAUAUUUUGCGUAUUUCUGUUGCUACUUCAUUUCGUGGAUUAGCAGCGCCCUCUUUAUUACUGGAGGGAGAGUCAUCAGCUCCUUUAAGACUAGUCAGACUGGAGAACCAAUUCAGAAAACAUCCUUACGAUUUUGUUUCUCUAGAACCACUUCCGGUAUCAAAUGUCUUAGGCUGGGUUCUCUAGAGGAGCAAAACUCGUGGAGUAUAUAUAUGUCUGUGUGUGUAUACAUAGAGAGAGAGAGAUUUAUUUCGAGGAAAUGGCUCACGCAGUUGUGGAGGCAAGUUCCGAAUCUGUGGGUCAGGUGUCAGGCUAGAGGCUUCUCCUGACUCAUGUGGUUGCAGGGGCUGAUGAACAUAGAUCAGCAGGUCAGACAGCAGGCCGCUGGCUCACGUCUCAAGAACCGGAGGUCAGAGGAUGAUGAGUCGGAUGCAGGAUCAAGAGAGGGCAAGUUUUGCCAGAGCAUCCAUAUACAUUUUGGAUGCAGACCACACCCCCAAGGGAACUCCCCUUACCUCAGAUCGCAGAAUGGAGGAUAGUUACAUAAUACUGAGAAUCGUGGCCCAGCCAAGUUGACACAUAGCAUUAACCACCACAGAUGGUAAGAUGUUUUUGUCUGGUGGAAGCCUUUAGAGAGUCAAUAAUGUGUAUCUGGGAUCCCUGCAUGGCGCAAGAAGAGCCCUGGUGGUGGGGCAGUCGUGGUGUUGACACAGUGCUCUGCUGAUAACCAGAAGGUUGGUGGUUUGAACCCACCAGCUGCUCCAUGGGAGAAAGAUCUGGCAGUCUGUUUCUGUAAAGAUUUAUAGCCUAGGAAACCCUGUAGGACAGCUCUACUCGGUCCUAUAAGGUUGCUAUGAGUCAGAAGUGACUCGACGGCUACAGGUAGGUGGUAUAAAAGUUAAGUCUGCAAAUAUCAGCCAAAACAUUUCUACAGGUGAAAGACGUGGAUAUCUGCUUUUGUAAAGAUUACAGCGAAGAAAACUGUAGGGACCAGUUCUACUCUGUCACAUGGAGUAGUUACCAGUUGAAAUCAACUAGCCAGAACACAACAACAAUAUGUAUUUAGACUCUCUAGGUGGCUCAAAUUGGUUACGUGCAUGACUGCUAGCUGGAGGUUCUACUGUGACACACAUGGGGUCGUCAUGAGCCAAAGUCAACUCCAAUGCGACUGGUUUUGUAAGGAUAAAGUGGGGUCUCAUGAAGCCCCCGCCCCGGGCAGGAAUGCGAAUUGCCUCAAGGCAGCCUGGGAAGCUGCCAGGAACCCAGGCAGCAAUCCAGCUGUCUUCUCGGCUUCACUCUCUCUUUGCAAUCAACUUUCUUCUUCUCUAUGGGCAACUGGGUGGAGGCUGAUAUGUCAACAACUAUCACCUUUACGUCUCUGCUUUUGAAGAGAUUAACCAAGGCUGACUGGCCAUCCUCUUCCCAGUGCCAGACUCCCAGAAGAAUCUGAUUGGCCCGCCCGGGUGAGAUGCACACCCUGAGGCAAUCAAGUGUGGCUGGGGGUAGGGCGCCCUGAGCUUGAUGGCGCUCAGGCUGGGAUGACUGAAGGUCAGCUCUCAGAGAAAGAAGAAUGUGCGGAGGGUGGGCAGACAUUUAAACAGCGACUAUUACAGGCAGUAGCGUCGCUAGGGGCUGGGGAGGUAGUGCGGAGAGCACCCACUGACACUGUCAGAAAGGGUGACAGCAAAAUGACCCCAGGUGUGUAAGUGGGCGGAUCGGUGCCGCUGGAGGAGGGGCUGCCGAGGCAGUGGCAUCACUAGGGUUGGUGACACCCCUCACCCAGUGCUGUACGUAGUCACCCCACCCCUCACCCGUCAGUCAGGGUGAGGGUGGCCAGCUACAGCGCCCGCCAUUGGGCAGAGACUAGGGUCUUGCCUUGGCCAAUGGAGCGGGGAGGAGCCGCAGGGAUCUGCGGGGGGCCUGGGCAGGACAGGACUACUCUGCCCAUCAGGGGGUGGGUUCCCCAGCCGGCUCCGCCCAUCCCAGGUUGGGGUGUGACACCUGGAGUACUGUGCUGGAUUACACCAACCCUAGUGACACCACGAAUUAUAGGCUUCAAUCAAAUUAACUACUAACACUGAAAUGGUAGCAUGGUCAAAGUGGGAGUCUAGAAGAACAAUUCGAACGCUGUGUAGUUGUUAGCUACCAUAGCAUAGCCUCUGACUCAUGGCGACCCCAUGAACAAUGCAACAAAAUGCUGCCUGGUCCUUCGCCAUCCCGAUGAUUGGUUGCAGAUUGGGCCACUGUGAUCCAGAUGGUUUUCACUGGCUGAUUUCCAGAAGCAGAUCUCCAGGCCUUUCUUCCUAGUCCGAGUCUGGACGCUCCCUCUGAAACCUGUUCAGCAUCAUAGGAACUCGCAAGCCUCCAAUGACAGAUGGGUGGUGACUGCGUGUGAGUUCGUUGCCUAGUCCUGGGGUCUUAAGAGCUUGCAAACGGUCAUCCAAAGUACAACAGUUGGUCUCUACUCACCUGGAGCAACAGAGGAAGAAGAGUCAGGAACAGGAGGAGGAGAUGGAACAUAUGCCUAAUUGCCUCCAUGAACAACUACCUCCUUUGCCAAGAGACCAGAACUGGGUGGUGCAUAGCUCCCAUUACUGAAUGUUUUGACCAAAGACUCUAUAGAAGGAUCUCAAUCAAAAGCAGAACAGAAUUUCAAAUUCUCUUGGAACCCAGAUUUUUUGGAGCCAUGGAGGCUGGAUGAAUCCCUGAAACAACUGCCCUAAGAUAACCUUUAAAAUUUAAACCAAAAAUAUCCACUGAAGCCUUCUUAAAACCAAACAAUAGUUUAGCUUAAGUAGUCAAGAAUGUCUGUCUUGAGCAUUGUGCUCUUUUAAUAACGAUCUACAUAGGGUCAAACUGACAAGAGCAACUUGAAAGGUUAGAUAGGAAACUUAGGGGGCAAUGAGUUUGUAUUAAUGAGGGAGAAACAAUUCAGAAAAGGAGGGUGAGAAUGGAUGCACAAUUUGAAGAACGUAAUCAGUGUCACUGUGUUGUACACAUAGAAAUUGUUGAUGUAUGUUCUGAUGUGUAUAUUCUCAACAACAAAUAAAAUUAAACUUUUAAUGAGAGUACAGUAUGCAAAAGAAAUCAGCAGCCUAAAUAAAUGGCUCUCUAAAAAAUGAGUGGUCUCCAACUGUAUAAAUAGAAGCAUCAUGUCGAGAAUAAAGGAGGGGACGAUCCUCCUCUACUCUGUGCAAGUUAGGCCUAAUCUGGAAUAUUGCAGGCAAUCCUAGGGCUCGUGGCUAUCUCUUAACCUCAUAUUCUACCUCUCUUCCUGUUACAGAUUGAAUUGUGACCCACCCCCCUCAAAUAUGUGUUGUCAAUCUUAACUCCUAUACCUGUGGUUAAGGAACCCCGGUGGCACAAUGGUUAAGCACUCAGCUGCUAACUGAAAGGUUGGCAGUUCAAACCCACCAGCAGCUCUGUGGGAGAAAGAUGUGGCAGUCUGCUUCCAUGAAGAUUUACAGCCUUGGAAACCCUCUGGGGCCGUUCUACUCUGUCCUAUAGGGUCACUAUGAGUCGGAAUCGACUCGACGGCCAAGGGUUUGGUUUGUUUUUGUUUUCGACAUUAUAUUAUAAAUGUACUUGCUUAACUGUUUAUUUCCUGUCUUCCUCAAUAGAAUGUAAGUCUCAGGAGGGCUGGGGCUUUGCUUGGUUCCCUCUUUCAUCCCUAAUUACUGACCCACUUUAAGUAUCCACUUUUACUCAUCUUUGACUGACUGAAUGAACACAGGGAGGCCAUACUGCUAGCCUACAAAAGGGAAGGUUUGCAUUCAAACAUCUGAGGUGUUACUUUGUGGAAGAGGCUUAGACUUUUUCCACGUGGCCAGGCUAGAAGGACCGAGUAGUUAGAUGCUCAAGGGAAGAAGCUUUGGGACUCUCAGGUUUCUGGUAAAGAAAUAUUUCCAAGAGUUGGAAAGAAUGGGUGACUUGGAGCAUCCUUAUUGCUAGAAGUUAUUUCCACAGCUGUGAGAAAACCACUUGUCAGGGAUAUCGUUUGGAAUUUGAAUCAGGAGUCUCCGUGUGGUACAAACAGUUAAUAUACUUGGCUGUUAACUGAAAGGCUGGCAGUUCAAGUCCACCCAGAGGCACCUCAGUAGAAAGGCCUGACGAGCUACUUCUGAAAAAUCAGCCAGUGACAAUUCUGUGGGGCACAGUUCCGCUUUGACACACGUGGGGUCGCCACAAGUCAGAGUCAACUUAACAGCAGCUCGUUACUUUCUGGUUAACAUUGAAGACGGUUUUCUAUUUUAAAAUUUUAUGAGGUUGUCACAGUUCAGGCCACCUGUUUCUUGUCAAAAUUUUUUAAUUCAGUCUACCACAAGAGUUCUCCUUUAUGGACGCAUUUUCGAUGUUUUCAGUAUAACAAUAGUGUCUUUGUUAUCUAGUGCUGCUACAACAGAAAUACCACAAGUGGAUGGUUUUAACCAGCAGAAAUUUAUUUUCUCACAGUUUUUGUUACUGUUAGGUGCUAUCAAGUCAGUUCCAACUCAUAGCGACCCUAUGUACAAUAGAAUGAAACACUGCCCAGUCCUGAGCCAUCCUCACAAUCGUUACUAUGUUUGAGCCCAUAUGAGCUCACAACUUAAGAGGCUAGAAGUCCGAAUUCAGAGCGCGACUCUAGGGGAAGGCUUUUUCUCUCCGUCGGCUCUGGAGGAAGGUCCUUGUCCCUUUGAGCUUCUGCUCCUGGGCGAUCUUCAUGUGGUUUAGCAUCUCUCUUUUCUCAUCUCUGCUUCUUUUGCUUGUUUAAUCUCUUUUAUAUCUCAAAAGACACACCCCUACACUAAUCCUGUCUCAUUCACAUAACAAAGACAACCCAUUCCCAAAUGGCAUUAUAACUACAGGCAUAGAGGUUAAGAUUUACAACACGUAUUUUGGGGGGACACAAUUCAAUGCAUAACAAAUAGGAUUCAAUUUAUACAAAUUAUGCCCAUUUCCUGAACCACGGCUUGGAAUAUGUGUGAUUUAGCAGAGAAAAAUUUUGAUUUCAUGGGAAAUAAGUGUUAUUCUCUGGAAGCACCCUCAGAAAGACUGAAAUGUAUCUAAUUUUCCUCAUUUAAUAUCCCAUGUGCUUACCACCCUUGUAGAUAAUCAUAAACGUUGCCUUCUGGGUAUCUUUCUAGAUAAGGCAUGGCAUUUGUCCCAAGGAGAAUGACUUUGGCACUCAGUAGGUGAGAACGGAAAUGGAUCAUCCCAUUGUCUCUCAGGGCAAUUUCAGUAGUCAGUCAAGAAUUGCCCUGGUAUGGACAGACAAAAGAGUAAACAAGACUCUAGUAUGCUCUUUCAGCGAGGCAAAAUUUUCUCUUUGGAAAAUUGAACAAAGUGUUUCAUAUUAACGCAGAGCUCAGAGGACGCUGAACACAGAGGUCUGUAUUUAUAUAAAUUAAAACUAACAAACACAGCAUACCAGUGCUUACAGAGGACUCUGUGUUUCUCACUCAGGGGGAGAAGGGACAAAAUAUCAUUGUAGAGGGACUGCUAAUGUGUCCAGCUCUGACUGACUCCCACCACCCUGAAGUAGGCCAAGAGCAGAGAUAAAGCUUGAAAGUGUGUCAUGGGAAUUUCUGACUAUUUCCUUUGGCUGCAUGAUGAGAUUUUUGCUGCCUAAAAACACAGAAGAUUGGGACCACACGGCCAGUGUUCUGUUAACCUAGUAAGUGAGAAAAGAAGGUCUUUCCUGGAAUCCUGGAUUUUAAAAGCUUAUUUCGGAAACAAACCUGAAAUCCCAAACUUAAUUUCAGCACAUUAAAAACAAAACAAAAACAAAAACCUGAGUUAAAUAAAGGUUGACACGGGAGUGAACCUUCUUUCUUUCCAUCAGCUUCUUGUUCUGUGCCGUUGAGUCGACUCUCAUAGCGACCUUGUAGGACAUAGUAGAGCAGCCCCAUAGGGUUUCCUAGGCUGUAAUCUUCAUGGGAGCAGAUAGUCUAGAAUAUGGAUUCUAGAGUGUAGUUUGAGGAGAAGGGAAGGGAAAUACGUGGAUGUGACUUUCUAGGCAAAUGGACCUAGCAAAGCCAAAGCAGGCCCAGAUCAGGAAGUGAGAUGCUUCUAUUCCUGUGUCCCAGGAUACAGGACAACCCAUGUUCUUCCCUGGGCAUUGGCAUCAGACAGUGACUUUUCUAUGGAGGGUCCUGGUUCCUCUUGUGCCCUACACAGUAGUAGGUCAGUGAGACCACAAACAAAACCUAACAAGCCAAGGUCAAGGCUGCAUUGUAAGUACUCAUUUACCCCACUAGGCUGCAGGGAGCCCUGGUGGCACAACAGUUAAGUGUUCUGCUGCUAACUGAGAGGUUGGCAGUUCAAACCCACCCAGUGGCUCUGUGGGAAAAAGACCUGGCGAUCUGCUCCCGUAAAGACGACAGCCUAGGAAACCCUAUGGGACAGUUCUACUGUCACGUGGGGUUCCUGUAAGUUGGAAUCAACUGGACAGCACGUAACAACAAUCAGGCUGCAAGCCUCUUACGGACAGGGAUUGUCUUGUUCAUUGUGUCUCCCCAGCACCUGGCACAGUGCUGGCCCCAAAGGUGGUAUUCAGUAAAAACAAUUUUUGAAGGAUACUAUUAAAUGAAGUGAAAUGGUCCAAAGGGAAAAAAGCUUCCGUUAACCCUCUUCCAACCAGUGGCAAGGAGUCCCUGGGCAGUGGAACCAGUUACCAUGCUCCACUCAGAGAUGCCUCCCAGGAAAGGCCUGGUGAUCUACUUCCAAAAAAUCAGCCACUGAAAACCCCGUGGAGCCCAGCUCUGCUCUAAGACACAUGGGGUCGCCAUGAGCUGAAGCUGACUCCAGCAACUGGUAGCCGCCCGCGAAGACGGCCUGCUUCGGUUGGAGAGGGGGUUUUCUUUCUCAGUUCUGUCUUGGGCACCAGAAGUGCAUCUUGUCACCUGAUGACACCUUUCUUUGGUGGUCUGGGUAGUGAGGGUAGAUACUGGGUUAUUCUUGCUCACCACUGACUGUCCAGUAGUGUGUCUGGCACCUUGUAGAUGAUCAAUAAAUGUUAAUAUUUGUGCAAUAAAAAAAUCAAGCGAUGGCAAUGGGCUUGCCUUCCUCCUAGCAGACUGCUGUUAUUACUCAAUAAAUGAGCCUCUUUCAAAACAGGACAUAUUAGGAAAGUGAAUUUCCCUAAAGAGCAGAGAUGUGACGGCAGCAGGCUUUUUCCUAUUGCUUUCUGGGGGAGGUGAGAGGGAGAAAUAAGGAAAAGAUAAGGCAAAAUAUCACCGGGGAUGGACCCUAAAGACCCACGAUUUUGGGGUUUCAAGGUGAUCACAGAUGGCAAGAGCCCCAGAAACAAACGCCAGCUGGUUUGCAGGCCAGGAAGGCAUUUCCUCCCCACGUGACGAGGGCAUGCCUCCCUGCUCUCUGCCGGAUCCCGCGCAGCCACCAAGUGUUUCAAAGGUUGUGCAGAAACAAAAUUUCACUGUUAAUGUUCUAGAAAUCUUCAGAAACAAGCACAAAAGAAUUUGUAUGUAGUCAUUUCUAGUAAACUUUUUUACAAAUAGAAAAGAGUACAUUUUGAAGACUUCCCAGGGAAGGAGGAGGAGCGAUCGUCAAGGGUAAAAUCCAUCCUGAAUCUGAACAGGAGACUGGAUCGACUCUUACUUACGUCUGUGCUGAGCAAUCUAUCGUAAAAGCGGUAUAUCGUAUAUCGUAACGUGGUUCAGAGAUCCACAGAAAGUGGGACUCUCUUCUUUUUCCCCCAAAUCACCCUCCAUCUUCCAAGAGGAAAAUGGACUCUCCCCGUGGGAAGCACCAAACCAUGUUUCUGAUCUUCGCACCACAGCUCCCAGGGCCGCUGGAAGGACAGGCUGGGCGCGGAGUGCCCGGGGCUGAGCCCGGUUCUGCCGCGUGUUGUGUAACCCGCCUGGCAAUCACGUUGCACUGACAAGUUGCACAGGCUUUGUAACGCAAUAAUAAGCUUGAUCUUUUUAUUCACAUCCAAGUCGCAGGCACAGCCGGUCCAAGUCACAUGUCCAGAGCACGUGGUGCGCAGACACAGAAACCGCCUGGCAAUCAUUAACUGAGGCUCACUCCCUGGAAGAAAAGGCAGGUCUUUAAAACGCGAACUCUGUUUUUAUAAAACGGCCGGUCCUGCUACAGAAGGUAGACAGGGUGGGUGGGGUCUUGUCUUCUUGCUACGUGCUUUCCCAGGAAAGGCAAAGAGCCAACAAAUACUCCUAGCCCUUCUGCUCCCAGGACUUUGCAAACUCGCUCAGCGCAGCUGCCUUUUGCAAACCUUGAGGAGGGGAGGCUGGCUGCACCCCAGACCCCCAAAGGGAGGGGCAGGCCGACUUGGCGCCUCUGAAUGGACUUGGAAAUAGAGGACAGGAUUCUGAAUUUAGUAGAGAGCCAAGUUUUCCCUUCCGUAUCAAAUGAAUGCUUUUGGCUCCAUGGAGUUCGGGUAGGGGUGAGGGGUGAGAAGAGGCGCGGUGAGCUCCUGGGGACGCGUCUAGACUUUUCAGGAAAACGGAAAGCAACCUCGAGAACGCGGCUCCUUUAAGCCUUCCCUGGUAAGAAGAGGACUGGCCAGGGCCCUGCUACCUGAAUGCUUCCUGGUUCAGGCCUUUCAACUGAGAGCCGAGUUCUUUCACUUUCUCUAACUUGUACAACGUGCCUUGGCGCUUUGAAAAAAACGGUCAUCAGCAAGCUGUGUUUGAUUUCAGUGGUAGGAGCGACAAUAGGGGGAGCUUAUAAAGGGUUUAGGAUUUUUGCUGGCGGGAAGGGAUAAAGUACAGAUAAAAGGCCUUAGCAGAAACUGACAGCGUCUGUUUUUUUUUUUUUUUUUAACCUAUGUGUUAUAUUAAAUUUACUUCCCCGCCCUGGUACGUGCUACGACAUGGGGGAACCGUGACAACAUUAUGCUGAGUAAAAUAAGUCACAAAAGGACAAAUAUCAUCUGACCCCCCCUUAUAUGAAGAAGGCAAACUUAGAGAGACAAAAGGAGGCCUGGUGGUUCAGUGGUCAAAUGCUGGACUGCUAACCAAAAUGUCAUCCGUUUGAGCUCACCAGCCGCACUGCGGGAGAAAGAGCUGGUGAUCUGCUUCUGUAAAGAUUACAGCCUUGGAAACCCCAUGGGGCAGUUCUACCCUAUCUUACCGGGUUGCUGUGAGUGCUGAUGAGGCUUGGUCUGGGUUUAUAGAGAGCUAAGUUUUUUAGUGGUGAUCGGGCGGGAGGGUGGAGGAAGGGGCCUGAUGGCUCGGGGGUACUGAGUUUCUGUCGAGGGUGGUGGACAGAUUUGGAGACCGACGGUGAUGAGGGUUUCAGAAGCGUGGUGAAUGUAAUGUCACAGCCUUGUACAUGUAAAAGGUGUUUCAUUGGUAACUGUUUUGUUACGUAUUUUUUAUCACAAUUUUUUUUAAAAAGUACUAAGCAAGCCAAACUGAGUUUUACAAGAAAAUCUACUGGGCUUUUUUUUUUUUUUUAUAGUCUGGAGCUUUGUUUUCUUAGUUCACUUAAUUCUUUUCAGAAAGAACAAACAUACAAAGAAUUUCCAGUUUCAUGGUAUCAUUGAAAUUACAAGUCGUUCGGGAACUUCAGGUCGAAGAUUCUCGACCGCCUCACCUUCUCCUCACCCUACCCUCUUCAGAAAGAUAAAAUAAAAGUAUGUGAUCGAAAGGGAUGUGUUGUGGGUUGAAUUGGGUCCUUCCCAAAAGACAUAUUCAAGUCCUGACUCCUGGUACCUGUGAAUGUGACCUUAUUUGAAAAUAAGGUCUUAGCAGGUGUGAUGCAGUUAAGAUGAUGUUAUACUGGAUAGCUGCUGCUGUUGGAUGCCAUCUAGUCUAUUCUGAUGCAGUGAUCCCAUGUGACAGAGUAGAACUGUCCCAUGGGGCCUUCUUGGCUAUAAUCUUUAUGGAAGCAGAUCACCAGGUCUCCAGCAGAGCCCCUGAGUGGGUUCGAACUGCCAGCCUUUCGGUUAGCAGCCGAGCGCUUAACCAUUUACACCACCAGGGUCCUUUGCCAGGCACUGCCAGACGCUGCACGUAGUGAUAUGACAUGUGGAUGAAGCCUUCACGGCUCCAAGCCAGGUGAGGUGUCACAGUGGGCUACAGGAAUGUUCCAGAAAUAUUGCCUACUUCAGGACAGUCAGCAGUCACUUAACUAUAUGAAAGUGACUACAUAAAUAUAUCUUGAUCUGCUCAAACUAAAGGUAUCUAUAACUCCAAGUCUUCUUAGACAGAUCCCAAAAAUGCCCAUAGCCAUUCCAAAGCCACCCAAAAAGAGGAGACGUGAUCAAAGAGUCCACCAGGGUGGAAAGAGAUAGCCAUCUUUUUUUUUCAUUUUUGUUGUUGUUGAGAAUCUACACGGCAGAACAUACACCAAUUCAAUACUUUCUACAUGUUCAAUUCAGUGACAUUACAUUUUUCAGGUUGUGCGACCAUUCUCACCUUCCUUUUCUGAAUUGUUCCUCCCCCAUUAACAUAAACUCAGUGCCCUCUAAGUUUCCUAUUUAAUUUUUCGAGUUGCUGUUGUCAGUUUGAUCCCAUAUAGAUAGUUCUUUAAAAGAGUACAAUCCUCAAGGCCGAGAUUGCUUACUAAUUAAGCUAAGCUAUUGUUUGGUUUUAAGAUUUCAGGGAAUAUUUUUGAUUUAAGGAUUAAGAUUUAAAGAUUACCUCAGGGCAAUAGUUUCAGGGGUUCAUCCAGACUCCCCAGCUCCAGAAAAUCUGGAUUCCAUGAGACCUUGAAAUUCUGAUCUUCAUUUUCCCCCUUUUGAUCAGGAUUCUUCUAUAGACUCUUUGAUCAAAAUGCUCAGCAAUGGCAGCUGGGUACUAUCCAGUUCUGGUCUCGUGGCAAAGGAGGCAGUUGCUCACGAAGGCAAUUAUCUACGUGUUCCUUUUCUUCUUCUUAUUCCUGACGGUCCUUCAAGAGACAGCCAUUUUUAACAACUGAGACUAUAGUGUCAUGCGUUUGCAAAGUUUACGAAAACAAAUGACCGUGUGAAUGCAUCACAAGGCCCGCCCCCCCAGGCCUCCACUGCAGCCUGUGAAGUGAGAGGCUUGAAGCUUAAUUUCCAUUAACUUCAUGGUAAUAAAUCUGCUACUGUUGACUGUGGUGCUGUGGAUCACUUUUAUAUGCCUUUCUCACCAUGAUCUUAGAACUCCCACCAAAUGAUGGGGUGGGACUAUGCAAAUAAGGUGCUCGUGGCCACCAAGGGGACUGGAUAUCUUGCUAACAAUGCAGAUAAGGUGUGUGGAACCCUUGUGGGGUGGACCCAUGCAAAUAACGUGUGAGGAAUCCUAAUGAGGGAAUUGGUCAGUUUUGUUAUCUCACAAGGCUUAAAAUGAGCCAUCCCAGAGGCAAAAAGGGGGGACAUCACUACCACCAAGAAAGAAGAGCCAGGAGUAGAGCGUGUCCUUUGGACCCAGGGUCCCUGUGCUGAGAACCUUCUAGACCCAGGAGACAGAGAGAGUUGUAACACCGGAGAUGGUACGAGACAACUAGAAAUGGCAGCAGCAGAACCAGGAGACCAGCACCAAACAGCGCGAUGGGCUUCCCAGGUCCACAGAGCAAGGUGGCUACGGUGUUUGUGCCGACCCACAGUGCAAGAGAGCUGAGCGCCUUUGGGCAGGAGGCUUCCUGGCAGAGUAGAGUGCCUCUGGGCACUUACUGGAGAAGUUAAAGAGCCUUGUAACACUUCCUGAGUAGGGUCAAAGCCUGGCUGAGCGCUGAAAGCCAAGAGAGAGAGGCCUGCCUACGGGCAUGGCGAGAAGCUGCCCUGACCAAAGAACUGUAUCCUGAGUUGUUUCUGAUGCUGAACUGUAACCUGUACUUCCGUAGUAAGUCCCAUAACUGCAAGAACAGCAAGAGACGGGAAAAGUAAUUGACACAAGGAAAGGAAUUGAAGUAUCACGGUUUGGAGUUUCAGCCUCAACACAGUCUAUCAGCCUCGUUCAAGACAAUGCAGGGAGUUUGUCUGAAGACUCAGAGACCAGGAGUGAUGAAAUGUUUGCCCCAAGCCACAGAUAUUUCCUCGGUACAAGGCCCCUUUGAAUCUGCCUGACUUCAAAGUACAGUGGGGUGAUGGAUAUGAAGCUGCUAAGGAGAACCUGACAGUACUGGCAGAUAUUAUCUGUCUUAACAAAAUUUACAUGUAGAAAAGACUGAUUUGUUGGGGGCGGGGGGAAUAUGCCUGCGAGAACGUUCACCAGUAAAGACAAGGAGCAUCUGCUUCACUUGAAAACAUUCCUAUUUGGUGGAAAAAAAAUAUGAGGCUGGCAAGAUGCAACCCUUCCUAGGCAACGGGAAUGACAAACAGUGGGUUUAGGAUCAGCUCUUCAGGACUUAACCUGCCCCUAAGGGGAGAAGCUUCUGAACAUGAAUAGUCUUGCUACCGCCUGACAGCUAAGUAGCUAUUUCCCUACAAAUGUGGCAUGUAAGCUCAGACUAUAAACACAGGGCUCGUUUUUAAAAAUUCUAAGUGCAUAGGCAGAUGGUAUAGUUCCGAGUCAGACUGUAUCAUUCUGUAAUUUUGCGGGGGACGAUAAAAGGAGUCCCGGAGUGGUGCAAAGUGGUUAACAUGCUCAGCUGCUAACCAAAAGGUUGGAGGUUUGACCCAGAGCGUGUCAGAAGAAAGGCCUGGAGAUCUACUUCUGAAAAAUCAGGCAAAUGAAGAUCCUGUGGAGCACGCUUCUACUCUGACACACAUGGGGUCACCAUGAGUGGGAAUCCACUCAGCGGCAACUGGAUUUUGGUUUUCUCCAGAGGCUUUGGCUCUGUGGAACAGGUGCAGCUUAGAAGGUAGGAGAGCUGGUUCAAUCCCUGUGGCUGCUCACUUCUUUCCUGCUUCUGUUUUCUAGUCCAUCGAAGUCCCAGGCCUUGAAAUUCUGCCCAAGUUUAUUGGCUGAUAUAGAAAAAUGAACAAGGGGUAAGGGGGACAUCAGCCAGGCAGCUGGCUAGGUGCCAGCUCAAAGUUGGCCAUACGAUUGAGCAAUUGACAUUUUUAUAAAUCUGAUUGCUAACUGAAUAAACCUUAGAAGUUAGUGGUGACUGGUCAGCUUAGGAUAUAAUAUAACUUGUUUUAAUAGGUUUAUAUGAUUAUGAAAAAUUGUAUUUUAAAAUAAUUUUAGACCUCCAGAAAAGAAACAAAAAUAGUACAGAGAAUUUCUCUAUCCCCUUCGCCCAGCUUCCCCUAAUGUUUACAUCUUAUACAACCAGUGUACAAUGGUCAAAAACAAGAAAUUAGUAUUGAUAUGAUAUCAUCGGCUAAACUACAGGUUUAUUUUGGAUUAUACCAUUUUUUUCUACUUACGUCCUGUUUUUGUUCUGGAAUGUAAUCAGGGAUCCCACAUUGCAUCUAGUUAUUUCUCCUAUUUUUUUCCGGUUGCUGUGGAGUUGAUUCCAGCUCACGGUGACCCCAUGUUGUCAAGACUAGAACGGUGUUCCAUUGGGUUUUCAAUGGCAGAUUUUUUGGAAUUAGAUCACCAGGCCUGUCUUCUGAGGUGCCUCUGGCUAUCAGCCUUUUGGUUGGCAACCAAGUGCGUUUACCGUUUGCACGCUCAGGGGCUCCUCUGUCCCUGUAGUCUUCCCUUUCCCAGAAGGUUAUGUAAAUGGACUCAUACCAUAGUCUUUUGAGUCUGGCUGCUUUUACUCGGAAACCCCGGUGGUGUCGUGGUUAAGAGCUACAGCUGCUAACCAAAAGGUCAGCAGUUUGAAUCCACCAGGUGCCUCUUGGAAACUCUGUGGGGCAGUUCUACUCUGUCCUAUAGGGUCGCUAUGAGUUGGAAUCAACUUGACGGCUAUGGGUUUCUUUUACUUAGCAAAAUGCAUAAAUCAAUAGUUCAUUUUUAUUGCUGAAAAAUAUUCCGUUGUUUUAGGCACCAGCAGAUGCCCAGUGAUGUCAGCCUGUCUUGAGUCCAGUAUUUCAGAGGAAAAAAAUGAUACACUCACUGCUGGUUUGGUGGGACUUUGGAUUCUGGUCUUAUUCCUCAGUCUGCCUGCUACUGUUGACUUUUCCAGCACCUUCGAAUAGCUUCUGUAUACAUUCUGUCCAGGUUGUAUAAUUGCAGUCAGGUGGAGGGUCCAGUGGCAUGUGUUUGUACCAUCUUGUCCAGAAUGGGAAACUCUGCCCGUUGUCUUUUUGCUUUUAGAAGCCUGAAGUCAAUGUGUUUCUUGAUCCUUGUAAUUGACUCAUUUUAUCUUUAUGGAAGCCUGUAGGAUCUGUAUUUGGUCCCCAGUAUUUAGAAAUUUCACGAUGAUGUUCCUGGGGGUGUGAGCCUAAUUUCACUCAUUGUGUCGGGUACUUGGUGGACCAUUCUGUGCUGGAAACUCACAUUCUUAUGUUCUGGCAAAUCUCACAUCAUCUUGUUGAUGGCCCCUCUUUGCUCUCUUUCUGGAACUCCCUCUAUUAUUUGAAUGUCAGAUCUCCUGGGCAUGUUUUCAAUUUUUUUUUUUUCCUAUCUCUUUUUGUUUUUGCUCUAGUUUCUGGGAUACUUCCCAUCAGCUUUAUUUUCCAGCCUCUCUCUUUGUCAUCUGUGUUGUCAGGUGUUGAAUUCUCAAGAGCUCUUUUGGUUGUUGCUGUUCUCUCCAUGUUCCUUUUUUUUAGCAUCCUGUUCUUUUUGCACGGAUAUGAUAUUUUUUGUCAUCUCUCUGAGGACGUUAAAUAUUUGGGGUGGCUUGUUGAGGGGGUAGUUUUCUUCUCCCUGCAUAGACUCCAAGUUGCAUUUUUCUAUGUGUUUGUUUCAUAUCUAUCUUUGUGAUAAAGAAAUGAGAACUGAAAAGCUAACCGGAAGCUGGAAGUUCAGGGCUGAGGUUUGUUGUUGUCUUUGACCUUUACUAUAGGGUGGGCUGGCUGGGUAGAUCAUUUGUUGAGCAGUCCCUAAUUUAAGUAGCUUUGGGUCUUUUUUCUUGGGCUGGUCAGAGUCUCCAAGGCAGGUUGUUAGUCUCCCACCUGGAAGCUUAAGAUUUGGCCGCCCAUGGUAUGGGGAGAUAAGCUGGGGGAGAAGGGCUGAGGUUCUCAGCAUUCAGCAUCCCUUCUGAAUACAGUCAUUUAAUCCUUUUGUUUUUUGACAUGGUGCUUUCAACUUACUAGUCCAAAGACUUCUAUUUUACACUCUUAACAGAAUGAGCCCUGUAGGCUUAUGCUGGGGCGAGGGAAGAGCAAUGUCCCAGUGGCACAUGGGGCGGAGGCAUCCAGAGAUCUGUGUUGUCUCUGAGAAUGCCACCCAGUCCUCAUUUCAGCCAGUCUCUUUGCAGCUCCAUUCCCAGAGGUACCUGGUGCUGUUGGUUUCUGAGCUUUUCCAUGGUGCUGUGGUGCAAAGUGGCUUCGUCCUUAGCUUUACUGCCCACCAGUUCAAGGACUAUUAUGUCACCCGCUGCUGAUCCAUCUGCUUUCUAGCUUCUAUAGUUCUGUGGCCGAUGUCUCCACGCCUGUCUUGCCUCCUAUUGGUUUUUGUUUGUUUUGUUUUUAAUACAUUUUUAAAAAUUGUGGGAAAUAUAUAGGUAACAUAGGUUUUAACUGGAUUCCCAUAAGAGUGCCUAAUGAGAGGCUGAUUUUAAUAUUUCCAUUUCCCAGUUGAAAAGCACAAUUUCUAUGAUGUUAACGUAUGUUGAUUCCGACUCAUAGUGAUACUAUAGGACAGAGUAGAACUGCCCUAUAGAGUUUCCAAGGAGUAGCUGGUGGAUUCCAACUGCUGACUUUUUGGUUAGCAACCAGGCUCCUGACCACUGUACCACCAUGGCUGCAAGAAGAAACCCCCCCCCCAAAAAAAAACCCGAACCCGUUGCCAUCGAGUCAAUUCCAGCUCGUAGUGACCCUAUAGGACAGAGUAGAACUGCCUCACAGAAUUUCCAAGGAGUGCCUGGUGGAUUCGAACUACCAACCUUUUGGUUAGCAGCCAUAGCUCUUAACCCCUACGCCCCCAGGGUUUCCCCCAGAAGAAAGGCUUCCUGCAUUUCCUUAAUUUCAAAACUACACAUUCUAGAUUUCUACUCAGGGGAUUAUCUGCAGGAAAUAGCACCUAUGGCAAUUAGUUUUAAAUUGCUGAAUGAUUUCUCAUGGCUGGUGAUGGAAACUGCGAUGGCCAAUAGAAAUUGUCUGCAGGUUUGUUUUGGUUAAUAAAUCUUUAGAAAAUAGAGUGGGGUUCUAUGAGAGAAGGCCCAGAAGCCUAGGACAGGGUGAGAGUAGAAAUUACUGAAAUGAACAGGAGGGAAAGUCAGGGCGGGAGAGGGCAAUUUAUAUUUUGGGAGUCUAAACACGUGAGGGUUACUUCUGAAAGUGGUUUGGGAUAUAACCAUUUGCUGUCAAGUUGGAAUCUACUCAUGGAGACCGUACGUGUGUCAGAACAGAACUCUGCUCCACAGGGUUUUCAGUGGCUGAUUUUUCGGAAGUAGAUUGCCAGUUAUUUCUUCUGAUGCCCUUGGUUGUUUUUGGUUGUCAUCGAAUUGAUUGUGACCCAUGUGUGCAGAGUAGAACUGCUUCAUCGGGUUUCCAAGGCUGUGACCUUUUGGAAGCAGAUAGCCAGGCCUAUCUUUUGAGGCCCCUCUGGGUGAGUGUGAACCACCAUUCUUCCUGCUUGUAGUUGAGUGCUUGACCAUUUUCACCAUGUCUUUAAAAAUUUCCUUUCCUAUGGUUUUUUUUUUUUAAUGGUUUUAGUGAGGCUUUGGGAGGGAGCAAAUCAGAGGCUUGUAUUUACCCUUGUAUCCUCCAAAGGAAAUGUAACCU